rnacentral:rRNA from 1 species
UACGAAGGGGGCUAGCGUUGUUCGGAAUCACUGGGCGUAAAGGGCGCGUAGGCGGGCUCUUAAGUCGAGGGUGAAAUCCUGUGGCUCAACCACAGAACGUCCUUCGAUACUGGGAGCCUGGAGUUCGAGAGAGGUUGGUGGAAUUGCGAGUGUAGAGGUGAAAUUCGCAGAUAUUCGCAGGAACACCAGUGGCGAAGGCGGCUCACUGGCCCGGAACUGACGCUGAGGUGCGAAAGCGUGGGGAGCAAACAGG